rnacentral:lncRNA from 1 species
AGAUUAUGAGAUUUGGUUGAUUAUGACCAAUGGAUCCUAAGAGGAUCCAUGUCCUAUACAAGGAAUCAUAUCCAACAUUUGACUCGAAUUAUAUAUGUAUAUAUUUUACAUCAGUAUUCGUGUGAGGAAUAUUUCUUAGUUUAAUUAUGAAACCAUAAAUUUAUACAUCAACAUGUUAAGUCGCUGGUAAUAGAUUUAAAAACUAAAAUUUUAAGUAUUUUUAAGAACGAAUAUUAUACGCGUAACUUACAACAUAAGAAAAGUAAAUUGAUAUAAAUAAAUUAGUUACUCAAUUUAUAACGUUGAUUAUACGUAUCAAUGUAAACCUUAACUAUUAUCUAUUUAAAUAUUAGUAGUUAACAAUCAUUUUCAACAGUCCAACAGGAGCUAAUGUCUUAUUCUAAUCCAAACCCACAAACUUUAUUUGUAUGGCUGACAUAGAUAUAAAUAAUGCAUUGAUUUGAUAUUGAAGUGAUGGUAAUGUUGUAAAGGAUUAGCUAAGAUAUGACAAGGUGAUGGCAACAUGAGCCUUUUUGACAUGAACAAUAGCAUACAGGUAUUCUACUGGCUGCCCAUUUGUGAGCAAUGGAAAUUGAUCAUUUCUAGAUUCCUUCCAUCAAAUUCAUCAAUCUAUCAAUUUAGAUUUUUGAAAUUUGAUCAAACGGUUAAAAACAUGGAUCUCUUUGAAAAGUUAUAAUAACUUUAGUCAUUUGAUCAAAUUUCAAGGACCCGAAUUGGUGGAUUUAGGCCAUCUCCAA